GAGUUUUAGCUUGCUCCCAGCAGAGAAGAUGAGUUCAAGUUUUUUCCUGCUUCUAGGAUGGUAGAAAGCAGUCUUCAGGCCAGGCGCAGUAACUCAUACCUGUAAUCUCAGCACUUUGGGAGGCUGAGGUGGGCAGAUUACCUGAGGUCAGGAGUUCGAAACCAGCCUGGACAACAUGAUGAAACUCCAUCUCAUCUAAAAAUACAAAGAUUAGCCAAGUGUGGUGGCACGCGCAUGUAGUUCCAGCUACUUGGGAGGCUGAGGCAUGAGAAUCACUUGAACCUGGCAGGCUGAAGUUGCAGAGAGCCAAGAUCACACCACUACACUCCAGCCUGGGAAACAGAGCUAGCCUCUGUCUCAAAAGAGAAAAAAAAAAGAAAGCAAUCUUCAGCCUGAGACCCAUCCCUAGGUGUGUAACAUUUAUCCUUGGAAAGAGCUUGCUUUCAGGACAACCCUAAAUGGAGAGAAAGGAUGUAACUACCUUCAUUUUCCUUCCAGUUGAAAUGCCAAAAUUCCACAUUAAUGGGAUGAAGCCCUUAGCAGGAACUAAAUCAGCCAGCACCUUGAUCUUGGACUUCCCAGUCUCCAUAACUGCUUGAUAAGGAAGAAAUGGAAGCUACAGUCUCUUUAAGCCUAGCUUUGGGCUGGGUGCUUAUUUAAGCCUUGCUUUGGGCUGAGUGGCUUAUACCUGUAAUUCCAGCAUUUUGGGAGGCUGAGGUGGGCAGACUGCUUGAGCCCAGGAAUUUGAGACCAGCCUGGGCAACAUGGCGAAACCCUGUCUCUACAAAAAAUACACAAAGUGAAUAUGUUUUUAGGCUAAGUGAUGGAACCAGUGGAGAAGAAAAAAUUGGAACUGUAGGAGAAGGAGGAAAACUGAUGAAACAAGAACCUGAAGUAAAGAACUGAGUGGGCUCAAAAGGGCAAAAGGAGACUUCAGCAUUGGGCAAAAAGAGGUUCUCGUCUUUCUCAAAGGCAAAAAGUAAGAAGAGAUGUUGUGGUGUACACACCGCUCUUAAGCAAGUGAAAGCAUUCCUGCUUGCAAUUUACAGCAAUCUAUUAAUUCUCAGCAAAAAUGGAAAGUGGAUCAACAUCUUCCUCCACUAUUAAAAUAACAAC